rnacentral:rRNA from 1 species
UACGUAGGGGGCAAGCGUUGUCCGGAAUCAUUGGGCGUAAAGAGCGCGUAGGCGGUCCGAUAAGUCGGUUGUGAAAACUGGGGGCUCAACCCUCAGAGGCCGACCGAUACUGUCGGGCUAGAGUCCGGAAGAGGCGAGUGGAAUUCCUGGUGUAGCGGUGGAAUGCGCAGAUAUCAGGAGGAACACCGGUGGCGAAGGCGGGUCUCUGGGCCGAUACUGACGCUGAGGAGCGAAAGCGUGGGGAGCGAACAGG